rnacentral:rRNA from 1 species
AUUGAACGCUGGCGGAAUGCUUUACACAUGCAAGUCGAGCGGCAGCGCGGGGGCAACCUUGGCGGCGAGCGGCGAACGGGUGAGUAACAUAUCGGAACGUACCCCGUCGUGGGGGAUAACACAGCGAAAGCUGUGCUAAUACCGCAUACGACCUGAGGGUGAAAGCGGGGGACCGUAAGGCCUCGCGCGAUGGGAGCGGCCGAUAUCGGAUUAGCUUGUUGGUGAGGUAAAGGCUCACCAAGGCGACGAUCCGUAGCUGGUCUGAGAGGACGACAAGCCAAGCUGCAUCUGGGACACGGUGCAGACUCCUACGGGAGGCAGCAGUGGGGAAUUUUGGACAAUGGGGGCAACCCUGAUCCAGCAAUUCCGCGUGAGUGAAGAAGGCCUUCGGGUUGUAAAGCUCUUUCGGCAGGAAAGAAACGGUGGCCACUAAUACUGGCUACUAAUGACGGUACCUGAAGAAGAAGCACCGGCUAACUACGUGCCAGCAGCCGCCGUAACAC